AACGAACGCUGGCGGCAGGCUUAACACAUGCAAGUCGAACGCCCCGCAAGGGGAGUGGCAGACGGGUGAGUAACACGUGGGAACAUGCCCCAAAGGUACGGAAUAUUCUCGGGAAACUGGGAGCAAUACCGUAUGUGCCCGAAAGGGGAAAGAUUUUAUCGCCUUUGGAUUGGCCCGCGUUGGAUUAGCUAGUUGGUGGGGUAAAAGCCUACCAAGGCGACGAUCCAUAGCUGGACUGAGAGGACGACCAGCCACACUGGGACUGAGACACGGCCCAGACUCCUACGGGAGGCAGCAGUGGGGAAUCUUGGACAAUGGGCGCAAGCCUGAUCCAGCCAUGCCGCGUGAGUGAUGAAGGCCCUAGGGUUGUAAAACUCUUUCGUGGGGGACGAUAAUGACGGUACCCCAAGAAGAAGCUCCGGCUAACUUCGUG
rnacentral:rRNA from 1 species